ACUUCAGUGGACUCAGGCCAAUUGGCAGAGCCUCACAGUUUCUUCUGGAUGGAACUGCCAUUGCUGAUGCAUGAAUGGUGUUUGGGAGUGGAUCAGCUACCAAGGCUAAGUCAUGUGAACUGAACUGCUGAUAUCCUAACAACAAAGAACUAUUGAACCUGUCAAGUUCCAGAGGUAGAAUGCAUAUCUACAUAGUGGAGUACUACUCAGCUAUCAAAAACAAUGACUUCAUGAAAUUCAUAGGCAAAUGGAUUGAAGUAGAAAAUCUCAUCCUGACUGAGGUACCCCAAUCACAGAAAAACACACAUGGUAUGCACUCACUGAUAAGUGGAUAUUAGCCCAAAAGCUCGAAUUACCCACAAUACAAUCCACAGACCACAUGAAGCUCAAGAAGAAAGAUGACCAAAGUGUGGAUACUUCACUCUUUCUUAAAAGGAGGAACAAAAAUAUUCAUAGGAGGGGAUAUGGAGGCAAAGUUUGGAGCAGAGACUGAAGGAAUGGCCAUUCAGAGCCUGCCCCACAUGUGGCCCAUACAUAUACAGCCACCAAAACUAGAUAAGAUGGAUGAAGCUAAGAAGUGCAUGCUGACAGGAACCAGAUAUAGAUGUCUCCUGAGAGACACAGCAUGUCAAAUACAGAGGCAAUUGCUAGCAGCAAACCACUGAACUGAGAACGAGAUCCCCAUUGGAGGAAUUAGAGAAAUAACUGAAAGAGCUGAAGGGGCUUGCAACCCCAUAAGAAAAUCAAUGCCAACCAACCAGAGCUUCCAGUGACUAAACCACUGCCCAAAGACUAUGCAUGGAUUGAUCCAUGGCUCCAGCUGCAUAUGUAGAAAAGAAGCCCUUGGUCCUGCCAAGGUUGGACCCCCAGUGUAGGGGAAUGUGUGUGUGGGGGGGAGGGAGGUGGUUGGGGAAGAGAACACCCUAUAGGAGAAGGGGAAGGGGAUGGGAUAGGGAGCUUAUGGCCAAGAAACCAGGGAAGGGAAUAACAUUUGAAAUGUAAAUAAAAAAAUCCAAUAAAAGAAAACAAUUAAAUUAAAUUUUAAAAUUAAUAUUAAAAAAAACCAAACAACAAUAAAUAGCCAGGUUAUAAACUCCAUAACUUACAAGCAAAGGCCAGAAAGCAAGAAAGGACACUGGCUUAGUGGCAAGGAAAGAUUAACUGUAACCUGAAAUGGACUGUUAGCAGAGACCAAGUUACCAAAGCACAAAGAUCAGACAGAGGAAACGGGCUGUCCAGCGGAUAUCCUAGCAGAUGUGGAGAAAAGCAGAAUGGUAAAUCCUUUGUAACUCUGAGAAUAAAAAGUCUUUUCUCAAAAAA